rnacentral:rRNA from 1 species
AGUGAACGCUGGCGGUAGGCCUAACACAUGCAAGUCGAACGGCAGCACAGUAAGAGCUUGCUCUUACGGGUGGCGAGUGGCGGACGGGUGAGGAAUACAUCGGAAUCUACUUUUUCGUGGGGGAUAACGUAGGGAAACUUACGCUAAUACCGCAUACGACCUACGGGUGAAAGCAGGGGAUCUUCGGACCUUGCGCGAUUGAAUGAGCCGAUGUCGGAUUAGCUAGUUGGCGGGGUAAAGGCCCACCAAGGCGACGAUCCGUAGCUGGUCUGAGAGGAUGGUCAGCCACACUGGAACUGAGACACGGUCCAGACUCCUACGGGAGGCAGCAGUGGGGAAUAUUGGACAAUGGGCGCAAGCCUGAUCCAGCCAUACCGCGUGGGUGAAGAAGGCCUUCGGGUUGUAAAGCCCUGUUGUUGGGAAAGAAAAGCAGCAGGUUAAUACCCCGCUGUUCUGACGGUACCCAAAGAAUAAGCACCGGCUAACUUCGUG